UCUCCUUCACACGCAAAACUCAGCUUUUCCUCUUUCCUUGUUCACGUCAGAGUUGGACAGAGAAAAAGGGAGCCUCGUUCAGCUCUUCCCCUCCACGUUUCCAUCAUGCAAAGGGCAACUCCUCCAAGAACAUCAUCUCAGACCUUCAAAAGAGAGAACCCAGGCCAUAAAUCGUCAUUCACCCUUCUCUUCUCACCUUUCCUCUCGUCCCUGGACACAUCAGUCCGUUUACGAGCCUCGAAACACCUAGUUCGAGAUCUCCGAUCAGAAAACGUUCUUCAUCAAAGUUGUUCGCCUAUGUCUCCUCUAUCUAGCCUCCAAAUUUCAGCUCCAUCGGAAUUGAUUUGAGACCUGUACACCCAUCGAAGCGGAAGCUGUUCCUGAACAAGCCUGUUCCGGAUUUCUGCUUAAACUUCCUCUCUUGCUCUACCCGAAUCCCCAACACCUUGCUUGAGACUGAUACCAACAGUUGUCUCUGUUUCACUUUGCAUGUUCGAGACUGAGCAAACUUCUUGGCCUGUGGCUGGACUCGAUCCAAUCAGCUCCUUCAGCUCUCUUUCCUGUUGAAAUCCUCAAGAGAAGCUCAUCUUUUUUUGUUAGUUUUUGGCUUGACAUCGUGGUGGAAUCUUGUGAAGUGGUGGUUGCUACAAGGUUGCAUUGAGGCCUAGUGCUGCAAGAGAAAGCUCGAGUUCCAGG